rnacentral:tRNA from 1 species
GUAGAAAUGCCAGAGUUACAUGGGGUUGGUUUAGGACCAAUAUACGGCUAUAUUGUAAUAAUCUAUU